rnacentral:rRNA from 1 species
CCUACGGGGGGCAGCAGUGAGGAAUAUUGGUCAAUGGACGAGAGUCUGAACCAGCCAAGUAGCGUGAAGGAUGACUGCCCUAUGGGUUGUAAACUUCUUUUAUAUGGGAAUAAAAUGUUCCACGUGUGGGAUUUUGUAUGUACCAUAUGAAUAAGGAUCGGCUAACUCCGUGCCAGCAGCCGCGGUAAUACGGAGGAUCCGAGCGUUAUCCGGAUUUAUUGGGUUUAAAGGGAGCGUAGGUGGAUUGUUAAGUCAGUUGUGAAAGUUUGCGGCUCAACCGUAAAAUUGCAGUUGAAACUGGCAGUCUUGAGUACAGUAGAGGUGGGCGGAAUUCGUGGUGUAGCGGUGAAAUGCUUAGAUAUCACGAAGAACUCCGAUUGCGAAGGCAGUUCACUGAACUGCAACUGACACUGAGGCUCGAAAGUGUGGGUAUCAAACAGGAUUAGAUACCCCUGUAGUC